AUACGAAAGGUGCAAGCGUUGUUCGGAUUUACUGGGCGUAAAGAGAGUGUAGGUUGUUUAUUAAGUCGGAUGUGAAAUCCCGGGGCUCAACCUCGGAGCUGCAUUCGAUACUGGUAGACUAGAGUUCGGGAGGGGUAAGCGGAAUUCCGUGUGUAGCAGUGAAAUGCGUAGAUAUACGGAGGAACACCUGAGGCGAAGGCGGCUUACUGGACCGAUACUGACACUGAGACUCGAAAGCGUGGGUAGCAAACAGAAUUAGAAACCCCAGUAGUCC
rnacentral:rRNA from 1 species